AAACUUUUAUAAUAAAAGGGAAUUAAGUGAAAAUCUUAAACAGACCCGCUGCUGUAAUCUUCAACAGUCUUUAACCAAUCGAAUAUCCACUGUCUUUUAUAAAGAUGGGAAGGAUGCGUUAAAGAUGAAGUAAGUCAGAAAACCUGCCAAGUCAUUU
rnacentral:ncRNA from 1 species